rnacentral:lncRNA from 1 species
UAUGCAGGCUUUAGUCAGACAGGCUAAUACAGCUGCCAGAGAAGGGCUGAACACUCAAAAGGCUUUAGUCAUCAAAAUAUACAGUAGAACAGUAGAAAAUGACUGGAAUGGUUGUUGGUGGAAGAUGGUGCAGAGUCUAAGAGAAUUGACGUAUUAUCUUGGAUCCCAGUGGCAAGGGAACACUUCUGUCCUACAAUAAUCUCUCCCAUCCCCAACAGGAAAAAGG